UACAGAGGGGGCAAGCGUUGUUCGGAAUUACUGGGCGUAAAGGGCGCGUAGGCGGCCUGCUAAGUCGAACGUGAAAUCCCCGGGCUCAACCCGGGAACUGCGUCCGAUACUGGCAGGCUUGAAUUCGGGAGAGGGAUGCGGAAUUCCAGGUGUAGCGGUGAAAUGCGUAGAUAUCGGAAGGAACACCAGUGGCGAAAGCGGCUUCCUGGUCCAGCACCGACGUUCAGGCACGAAAGCGUGGGGAGCAAACAGG
rnacentral:rRNA from 1 species